GUGAAUCAUCGAAUUUUUGAACGCAAAUUGCGCCUUUUUCAGAUCGCAUGUCUGUUUCAGGGUAAUUUAAAAGCCUCCUUAACCAAUUUCUUUUGGUCAAAGGAAAUGAGCUCUCCGCGUUUAUAGCGGUAGCUUGAAAUAAAUGGUCAAGUCUCAUUUUAGUCGAGACGCGUAAUAAUAUUAUUUCGCGAAAUCUUCAUUAUGUGACUAUCAAGUUUUGAUGCAUACAAAUUUGCUUUGUAUGCGAUCAAUACAAAUAUUUUGAACAUUACCUCAAAUCAGGUAGGA
rnacentral:misc_RNA from 1 species